rnacentral:lncRNA from 1 species
CAGAAGACUGAUCACCCUUCAGCUGCCCGACAUCCAGCCUGAAGAAUAUGUUUGGAAUUAAGCAGGGAUCUUGGUUGAAAAGAACAUCAGAGCCCUGAGUCACCAUUUAAGAAGUCCGACUACCCUGCUGAAGAGAUCACAUGGAGGGGCUCUGAGACUACAGCCUGAGAGCUGUUCCCACCAAGGUGUCAGGCUUGUGACUGAAGCCAUCUUGGAUGUUCCAGACUGGCCCAGGCCUCCAGACCUGGGCUGAAUUACAUCACCAGCUUUCCUGAUUCUUCAGCUUGCAGAUGGCAGAUUAGGGAACUUCUCAGUCUCCAUAAUCAUGUCAGCUGGGGCUCUGCUCUGCAUCUUCCUCCCUCUGGAACCCUAGCUGAGUGAGUGGUCACUAUCUGGAACAUUGCUG